CACGUAGUUAGCCGGUGCUUUUUCUGCAAGUACCGUCACUUUCGCUUCUUCCUUGCUAAAAGAGGUUUACAACCCGAAGGCUGUCAUCCCUCACGCGGCGUUGCUGCAUCAGGCUUUCGCCCAUUGUGCAAUAUUCCCCACUGCUGCCUCCCGUAGGAGUCUGGGCCGUGUCUCAGUCCCAGUGUGGCCGGUCACCCUCUCAGGCCGGCUACCCGUCGACGCCUUGGUGAGCCAUUACCUCACCAACAAGCUGAUAGGCCGCGAGCCCAUCCUGAACCAAAAAAUCUUUCCAAACGUUGACCAUGCGGCCACGUCUCGUAUCCAGUAUUAGACGCCGUUUCCAGCGCUUAUCCCAGAGUUCAGGGCAGGUUGCUCACGUGUUACUCACCCGUUCGCCACUGAUCCACCAAGCAAGCUUGGCUUCACCGUUCGACUUGCAUGUGUUAAGCACGCCGCCAGCGUUCAUCCUGAGCCAGGAUCAAACUCU
rnacentral:rRNA from 1 species